rnacentral:rRNA from 1 species
UACGAAGGAUCCAAGCGUUAUCCGGAUUUAUUGGGUUUAAAGGGUGCGUAGGCGGGCUAUUAAGUCAGUGGUGAAAGCCCCAAGCUUAACUUGGGAAUUGCCAUUGAUACUGAUGGUCUUGAGUACACUUGAAGUGGGCGGAAUGUGUCAUGUAGCGGUGAAAAUGCUUAGAUAUGACACAGAACACCGAUUGCGAAGGCAGCUCACUAAAUUGUUAAACUGACGCUGAGGCACGAAAGCGUGGGGAUCAAAACAGG